CGCGUAGGCGGUCUUUUAAGUCGGGGGUGAAAGCCUGUGGCUCAACCACAGAAUUGCCUUCGAUACUGGGAGACUUGAGUUCGGAAGAGGUUGGUGGAACUGCGAGUGUAGAGGUGAAAUUCGUAGAUAUUCGCAAGAACACCGGUGGCGAAGGCAGCCAACUGGUCCGACACUGACGCUGAGGCGCGAAAGCGUGGGGAGCAAACA
rnacentral:rRNA from 1 species